rnacentral:rRNA from 1 species
UACGUAGGGUGCAAGCGUUGUCCGGAAUUAUUGGGCGUAAAGGGCUCGUAGGCGGUCUGUCACGUCGGGAGUGAAAACUCAGGGCUUAACCCUGAGCCUGCUUCCGAUACGGGCAGACUAGAGGUAUGCAGGGGAGAACGGAAUUCCUGGUGUAGCGGUGAAAUGCGCAGAUAUCAGGAGGAACACCGGUGGCGAAGGCGGUUCUCUGGGCAAUACCUGACGCUGAGGAGCGAAAGUGUGGGGAGCGAACAGG